UACAGAGGUCUCAACCGUUGUUCGGAUUCAUUGGGCGUAAAGGGUGCGUAGGCGGCAAGGCAAGUCGGGUGUGAAAGCCCCGAGCUUAACUCGGGAAUUGCAUCUGAAACUGCUGUGCUUGAGUUCUGGAGGGGGUAGUGGAAUUCCCAGUGUAGCGGUGAAAUGCGUAGAUAUUGGGAGGAACACCUGCGGCGAAGGCGGCUACCUGGACAGAAACUGACGCUGAGGCGCGAAAGCUAGGGGAGCGAACGGG
rnacentral:rRNA from 1 species